rnacentral:rRNA from 1 species
ACGCUCGACACCUACGGGAGCAGCAGUGGGGAAUAUUGCACAAUGGGGGAAACCCUGAUGCAGCGACGCCGCGUGAGUGAAGAAGUAUUUCGGUAUGUAAAGCUCUAUCAGCAGGGAAGAAGAUGACGGUACCUGAGUAAGAAGCCCCGGCUAACUACGUGUCAGCAGCCGCGGUAAUCUGAGCGGGCUGGCAAGGC